UACGAAGGGUGCAAGCGUUAAUCGGAAUUACUGGGCGUAAAGGGUGCGUAGGCGGUUAUUUAAGUCUGCCGUGAAAUCCCCGGGCUCAACCUGGGAAUGGCGGUGGAUACUGGAUAGCUAGAGUGUGGCGGAGGAUGGUGGAAUUCCCGGUGUAGCGGUGAAAUGCGUAGAGAUCGGGAGGAACAUCAGUGGCGAAGGCGGCCAUCUGGGACAACACUGACGCUGAAGCACGAAAGCGUGGGGAGCAAACAGG
rnacentral:rRNA from 1 species